UGUUCUUUUUCUUUUGUCCUGUUGGGAUCAUGGAUAAGCAAUUCUUUAAAAAAAAAAAUAGUAGAGGAUGUAUGUAUGGUGCCAUUCGUGAGUCGAUAUUACCCAUCUCAUCACAGGAUAUUCCAAAACAAUGAUUGCAAACACUCAGCCUGAGCCAAAUUAAUGGAAGAGAAAGGUAUCAAUUGGGAACGCACAUCACCAGAAUCACCGGACAUAAAUCCAAUUGAAGUAGGCUCAAGUGAAGAGAUGCAUUAGGAGUGUUGCAAAGCCAACAACAAAACAGCAGCUGUUGGAUGGGAUCAAAAAGUUUUGGCUAGAAGUACUCACACCUGAAUAUUGUAAUAAUUAUGGGGGUCAUUCCGAGUUGUUCGCUCGCAAGCGGAUUUUAGCAGAUUUGCUCAUGCUAAGCCGCCGCCUACUGGGAGUGAAUCUUAGCAUCUUAAAAUUGCGAACGAUGUAUUCGCAAUAUUGCGAUUACACACCUCGUAGCAGUUUCUGAGUAGCUCCACACUUACUCGGCAUCUGCGAUCAGUUCAGUGCUUGUCGUUCCUGGUUUGACGUCACAAACACACCCAGCAUUCGCCCAGACACUCCCCCAUUUCUCCGGCCACUCCUGCGUUUUUUCCGGAAACGGUAGCGUUUUUUCCCACACGCCCAUAAAACGGCCUGUUUCCGCCCAGUAACACCCAUUUCCUGUCAAUCACAUUACGAUCGCCAGAACGAUGAAAAAGCCGUGAGUAAAAAUCCUAACUGCAUAGCAAAUUUACUUGGCGCAGUCGCAGUGCGGACAUUGCGCAUGCGCAUUAAGCAGAAAAUUGCUGCGAUGCGAAGAUUUUUACCGAGCGAUCAACUCGGAAUGACCCCCUAUAUACAUCACCUGUAUAAAGUAUUGCCUGUUAUAGUUGAAAGAAAUGGUCAAGUCACAAAUAUGUAGGUCUGUAGUGUAUUUUCUGUAUAAAAUUUUAAUCGAUGCAUUAUUAAAAAUGUUUUUAAAAUUUCAUGUCUGAAUAUUGCAUAAGCUACUGUACAUUAGUACUGUUAUUGAUGUGUAUGAACAGUUGUUUACAGUUUUAUAAGUCCUGAAUAAUAAAGUACUGUAGAGUACAUGAAAUCUGAUUUUGUAAUAAAGACUUUUUUACAUUUA